rnacentral:misc_RNA from 1 species
GAUCAUUACCGAGUGUAGGGUUCCUAGCGAGCCCAACCUCCCACCCGUGUUUACUGUAACCUUAGUUGCUUCGGCGGGCCCGCCUUUAAGGCCGCCGGGGGGCAUCAGCCCCCGGGCCCGCGCCCGCCGGAGACACCACGAACUCUGUCUGAUCUAGUGAAGUCUGAGUUGAUUGUAUCGCAAUCAGUUAAAACUUUCAACAAUGGAUCUCUUGGUUCCGGCAUCGAUGAAGAACGCAGCGAAAUGCGAUAACUAGUGUGAAUUGCAGAAUUCCGUGAAUCAUCGAGUCUUUGAACGCACAUUGCGCCCCCUGGUAUUCCGGGGGGCAUGCCUGUCCGAGCGUCAUUGCUGCCCAUCAAGCACGGCUUGUGUGUUGGGUCGUCGUCCCCUCUUCGGGGGGGACGGGCCCCAAAGGCAGCGGCGGCACCGCGUCCGAUCCUCGAGCGUAUGGGGCUUUGUCACCCGCUCUGUAGGCCCGGCCGGCGCUUGCCGAACGCAAAACAACCAUUCUUUCCAGGUUGACCUCGGAUCAGGUAGGGAUACC